UCUUAUGGAUGAGCAAAGCAAGUGGUUUCUUGGGAUGGAGUCUACUCCUGCUGCAGGUGUUAUGAA
rnacentral:pre_miRNA from 1 species